GUGCUUGCUUUGGCAGCACAUAUGCUCAAAUUGGAAUGAUACAGAGAUUAACGUGGCCCCUGUGCAAGGAUGACAUAAAAAUUUGUGAAGUGUUCCAUAUUGUU